rnacentral:rRNA from 1 species
UACGUAGGGGGCAAGCGUUGUCCGGAAUCAUUGGGCGUAAAGAGCGUGUAGGCGGCCAGAUAAGUCCGCUGUGAAAUCUCGAGGCUCAACUUCGAGCUGUCGGUGGAAACGGUCUGGCUAGAGUCCGGAAGAGGAGAAUGGAAUUCCUGGUGUAGCGGUGAAAUGCGCAGAUAUCAGGAAGAACACCCGUGGCGAAGGCGGUUCUCUGGGACGGUACUGACGCUGAGACGCGAAAGCGUGGGGAGCGAACAGG